rnacentral:rRNA from 1 species
UACAGAGAGGGCAAGCGUUGUCCGGAAUGACUGGGCGUAAAGCGCGCGCAGGCGGUUUUUUAAGUUGGAUGUGAAAUCCCCGGGCUCAACCUGGGAACUGCAUUCGAUACUGGGAAACUAGAGGCCGAGAGAGGAAAGCGGAAUGACGAGUGUAGAGGUGAAAUUCGUAGAUAUUCGUCGGAACACCAGAGGCGAAGGCGGCUUUCUGGCUCGGACCUGACGCUCAGGCGCGAAAGCGUGGGGAGCAAACAGG